AGUGAGGAAUAUUGGUCAAUGGUCGAAAGACUGAACCAGCCAUGCCGCGUGCAGGAUGACGGCGCUAUGCGUUGUAAACUGCUUUUCUACAGGAAGAAACCUACUUACGUGUAAGUAGCUGCCGGUACUGUAGGAAUAAGCACCGGCUAACUCCGUGCCAGCAGCCGCGGUAAUACGGAGGGUGCAAGCGUUAUCCGGAUUUAUUGGGUUUAAAGGGUACGUAGGCGGAAUAUUAAGUCAGUGGUGAAAUCCUGCGGCUCAACCGUAGAACUGCCAUUGAUACUGAUAUUCUUGAAUGUAGUUGAGGUAGGCGGAAUGUGUAAUGUAGCGGUGAAAUGCUUAGAUAUUACACAGAACACCGAUUGCGAAGGCAGCUUACUAAACUAUGAUUGACGCUGAUGUACGAAAGCGUGGGGAGCGAACAGGAUUAGAUACCCUGGUAGUCCACGCUGUAAACGAUGAUCACUCGUUGUUUGCGAUAUAUUGUAAGCGACUGAGCGAAAGCAUUAAGUGAUCCACCUGGGGAGUACGUUCGCAAGAAUGAAACUCAAAGGAAUUGACGGGGGCCCGCACAAGCGGAGGAACAUGUGGUUUAAUUCGAUGAUACGCGAGGAACCUUACCUGGGUUUAAAUGUAGAUUGCAUGAUCGGGAAACUGAUCUUUCCUUCGGGACUAUUUACAAGGUGCUGCAUGGUUGUCGUCAGCUCGUGCCGUGAGGUGUCGGGUUAAGUCCCAUAACGAGCGCAACCCCUAUCGUUAGUUGCCAUCAGGUCAUGCUGGGGACUCUAACGAGACUGCCGGUGUAAACCGUGAGGAAGGUGGGGAUGACGUCAAAUCAGCACGGCCCUUAUAUCCAGGGCUACACACGUGUUACAAUGGUCGAUACAAAGAGCAGCCACUUGGUGACAAGGAGCUAAUCUCUAAAGUCGAUCACAGUUCGGAUCGAAGUCUGCAACUCGACUUCGUGAAGUUGGAUUCGCUAGUAAUCGCGCAUCAGCCACGGCGCGGUGAAUACGUUCCCGGGCCUUGUACACACCGCCCGUCAAGCCAUGGAAGCUGGGGGUGCCUGAAGUCUGUAACCGUAAGGAGCGGCCUAAGGUAAAACUGGUAACUGGGGCU
rnacentral:rRNA from 1 species